GACAGAGGGUGCAACCGUUGUUCGGAAUUACUGGGCGUAAAGCGCGUGUAGGCGGCCCGGAAAGUCGGAUGUGAAAGCCCUGGGCUUAACCCAGGAAGUGCAUUCGAAACUCCCGGGCUUGAGUUCUGGAGAGGAAGGCGGAAUUCUCGGUGUAGAGGUGAAAUUCGUAGAUAUCGAGAGGAACACCGGUGGCGAAGGCGGCCUUCUGGACAGUGACUGACGCUGAGACGCGAAAGCGUGGGGAGCAAACAGG
rnacentral:rRNA from 1 species